rnacentral:misc_RNA from 1 species
AAUUUAGAAUGUAAAUUCAGUUCUUUCUUUGUGAUUGGUCAACUUUAUUGUUACCCAAAUAUGAGCUGAGGAAGGCAGAGGUGCAUAGCUCACUUGAUCAUUUCCUGCUGACAUGUUGGGCUUUUGUGUAUAUAUGUAGGAAUUUUACCUAUUAUCUGACUGACGCAGGGCUUAUUUAACUCUAAGGACAAAAUAUUUGUUUAUGAUACUAAAUGUAAGGUAGGAACAAACAAAAAAAAAUAAUAAAUGCAAUACUGAUAAGAUUUAAGAACAAUGACUAAGCCAUAAGGCCUACUCUCAUCCUAUUAGACCUUUAUUAACAUUGAUUUUAGAGUACUGAUUAUCCUAGCAUAUCUGGUUCUACUACUUCCCUUUUUUCUUUCGUGGAUUAUAGGAUUCCUGUUCUAGU